rnacentral:rRNA from 1 species
GUUAAUUCGAUGAUACGCGAAGAACUUACCAGGUCUUGACAUCCCUUGCAAAGCUAUGGAGACAUAGUGGAGGUUAGUCAAGGAGACAGGUGGUGCAUGGUUGUCGUCAGCUCGUGUCGUGAGAUGUUCGGGUUAAGUCCCGCAACGAGCGCAACCCUUGUCUUUAAUUGCCAUCAUUUAGUUGGGCACUUUAAGAGACUGCCGGUGUUAAGCCGGAGGAAGUGGGGAUGACGUCAAGUCCUCAUGGCCUUUAUGCCCAGGGCUACACACGUGCUACAAUGGGCGGUACAAAGAGAAGCAACCUCGCGAGGGUGAGCAAAUCUCAAAAAGCCGUUCUCAGUUCGGAUUGAAGUCUGCAACUCGACUUCAUGAAGUCGGAAUCGCUAGUAAUCGCGGAUCAGCAUGCCGCGGUGAAUACGUUCCCGGGCCUU